CCUACGGGAGGCAGCAGUGGGGAAUUUUGGACAAUGGGGGCAACCCUGAUCCAGCCAUGCCGCGUGCAGGAUGAAGGCCUUCGGGUUGUAAACUGCUUUUGUACGGAACGAAAAGACUCUGGUUAAUACCUGGGGUCCAUGACGGUACCGUAAGAAUAAGCACCGGCUAACUACGUGCCAGCAGCCGCGGUAAUACGUAGGGUGCAAGCGUUAAUCGGAAUUACUGGGCGUAAAGCGUGCGCAGGCGGUGAUGUAAGACAGAGGUGAAAUCCCCGGGCUCAACCUGGGAACUGCCUUUGUGACUGCAUCGCUGGAGUGCGGCAGAGGGGGAUGGAAUUCCGCGUGUAGCAGUGAAAUGCGUAGAUAUGCGGAGGAACACCGAUGGCGAAGGCAAUCCCCUGGGCCUGCACUGACGCUCAUGCACGAAAGCGUGGGGAGCAAACAGGAUUAGAUACCCUGGUAGUCCACGCCUCUAAACUAUGGAUACUCGACAUUUGCGAUACACAGUAAGUGUCUGAGCGAAAGCAUUAAGUAUCCCACCUGGGAAGUACGAUCGCAAGAUUGAAACUCAAAGGAAUUGACGG
rnacentral:rRNA from 1 species